AAAUGUGAUUUGAAUCAGCCAGGCAGUGGGCUGGGCUAGCCUGGUCUCCAGCAGCUGAUUCCUGCUUUGAUUUAAGCCAUUGUAUUUAGGAGUUGUGUUUUAGUUGAGAGCUUUGUGAUUUUUUUUUUUUUUUUUUUUUGCUGUCCUUUUGGAGUUCUCAGUGUCCUGCACCAGAUGCCUCCUUCCAGUUCCCAGCCCCACCUCCAAGUCAUGAAGGUACCUCAAGGUUUUGAGGGGAAGUGGCUUGAAUGUCGGACUUGUUUGCCCUGGAGACUUCUUCAGGAAGCCUCUAAAUGCAAGGGUGAAAGCCGGUGGGAGGGGAAGGAUUUUAGCCAGACCUCCAGGGAGACCCACUCUGACUCUAGGUCCUGCCUACUGGGAGGAAACUUGCAUUCCCUCAACUCUUAAGUAAAUUGCAGCCUGGUGAAUAAUUAACCUCGCCCUUCUAGCCUUUUCUUUUCUUCUUUUUUUUUUUUUUUAAUAAAAUCCCAACCUAUUGAAGAUUUAGAGAACAAUUUUUUUUUUCUGCCCACCCGGAUUGGAAUGACAAAGAAUGUAUUGGGAGAAAGCUGGUCUUCUUGUCUCUACCCUCAAGUCCUAGCAACUUUGGAAGUUCUGAUACUUAGGAAUGCCUCCAGGGUUUCCUUGGUGGCCAUUCCUGCCAGACCUCUGAGCCGCUUCCUUAGGUCUCUAGUAGUUUAUCGCCCAAAGCUGAGCUCUCAGAAUCCUUACCACCCCGGAGGGCUCAAUCCCCUACUUUGUCUAGAGACAGCUUGGCCCUCACUGCUUCAUGGAGUUGAUUCCCUUGCCAGGCUGGUUUGUGGCUCUCUGCAUGGGCUGGUAAAUAUUUGGCCAGUCUGAGUUCUUCACAAAAGCGCAGCGCUCCUAAUCUGUGAUAAGUCCCUGACAGAGAGUUGUUUCAGGAGGGAGGGAUCAUUUUGGUUUCCAAGAAGUUUUUUUUUUUUCCUUUUUUUCCUUUCCUGGAAGCGGCCUAGUGAGAGCCACAAAGGUGCACCAUGGGUCCAGAUGUGCUGGGAUUCCAGUUCUAACUCCACUGCCAGCUGGAUGGCCUUUGCCAAGUGACUUGUCUGUGUCCCAAUUUCUCCUUGUGAAACGAGGGUUAUGGUAGCUACCUCGUAAGGCCAGUGUAAAUGUCUAGGCCGUGUCUGACUCAGUUUAGUGGAUCUUCCACGGGUAGGGGUAAUCCUCAUCCCCUGGGCUUCUGUCUUUGAAUCUGCAUGUGUAUGCGUGUUGGUUGAGAAGGGUGCAGAGUGAUCAGACCUCAGGCCUGUGGGUCUGGCAGGUUCUCAGGCCAACUGUGUAGCUUGCUAGCUUACGGCCUUGGGCAAGUUACUUAACUCUUGUGCAGCAGCUUUGCGAUCAGAAGGCAAGAAUAAUACCCAGUCACCCUUCUCCUGUUGAGUCUCCUGUUGAAUUUAGUCCAUUCAGUUUUUAUUGUCUACCACCUUUGUGCCAGGGACGGGGCCAAGCAGAGGCUGGGGUGAUGCCUGAGAGCAAGAUGAGCAUUUUCCUUACUGUCCGUUCUGGCUUUUACCCCAGCCCUGAAAGUAGAUGCAGAUUAUUGGGAGUCCUCAUUUUAGAGCGAGGCUGAGACCCAGAGGAGAGUCAGGAUCUCACAGCUGGUCUUCAGGGCAGCAGGAGCUGGACCCCCCCAGCCUUCUGAGUGAAGCUUCUCGGGUUGGAAGCCAGCAAGCCUGAGAACAAGAGGUGGACAGGUCUGGAUUAGCCAGUGCAGUCCUUAAAGGAACCCUGGUUUGCAGAUGUGGGUUUCUUGCACAUCUGUUCUACAGUACAGCCAGACUGGAAAGCCCAAAGAUUCCUCCACUUCUGACACUGAGCAUAUUUCAUGAAAGGUCCCAGGAAAGGCAUUUGAAUUACCACAGCUGCUCCAGGCUUGCUCAGUCACUGGCCCAGUGGCAAACUUGGCAUACCCUAUCAGGGACAACACAGAGGCCAAAAAAAAAAAAAAAAAAUUUUGACGUUCAAAAAAAUAAAAUGCUGAGAGUAGUCAUCAAGUGGGGGAAAAAAUCAGAAUUUUGUGGGACAUAUACUCUUUUAUGGUGCAGUGAUGUUUUUAUUUAGAAUUUAAAAUAGGAGGUGUAAUCAACCAUCUUUUCAGUGACUGAGGCUUUGGUAACCUAACUGGCCCUGGGCAGAGGGCAGGGCUUACAGAAGCGACAGAGCAGGUGACUUCUCACCCACUGUAGUGUUCCUUCCCUCCCUCUGGCACAGCCUGGGAAAUUUUGAAAUCUCCUGCAGUCAGAUCCCUGUGUUUGCUUCCCAGGAGAAAUGGGGAGAGGAAGGUGCCGUGUAGAAAGAACCUCGCCUGAUUUCAGUCUCAGCUGGGCCUAAAAGCACCCUUCUCUGUCAAAUGGGCAAUUGCACCGAACAAACUGUAGCCUUAACAUUCCUCUGAGAGUCUGAACUAGGAGGUGCAGAUGCAGGGAAGGGCACGGGGUGGAACCUGGGCCUGUGGUUUGGAGCAGUGGGAGGGGUGUGGGAAGGAGUCAGAGAUGUGCAGCUGUGAAAUUUGGAUCAGUCUAUGAAGACCACUUUGUGGUUCAUUCUCAUGAAGCUUGCUUCCUCUCACUGGAUUUCUGCCCUGGGGGAAUGUGGGGUUCAAGGGCAAACACUGGCUUCUCCUCCUUGGUGGCAGAAGCUUAAAUUCUAGUCUCCCAAGCAAAUGCAUAAGAAAUAAUCCUCUUUUUCUAUGGUAGAGCUCCUCUUCCACCCUCCUUAAAAGAAUUAAGUUGCUUCAUACUUACUUGCCCGAUAGCUUUUGGCUUUCCUGGAGACUGUCAGAGACACCCCCCCUCAAAAAAAAAAAAAAUGCUUUUCUACGUAAAACCGGAUUUGGGGAAAGGGCAUUGAUGGGAGUCAGAAACCUGGCAGUCUGGGGAUUAGCUGGGUGAGGUCUGUGGUGCCUCCUGAGGCUCAGUUUCCCUGUCUGCUAAUGCAAGCAGGGCUUUACGAGGAUUGAAUGAGAAUACCUGUGAAAUGUCAGGCACAUGGUAGGGGCUGCAACGCACUAGCUGUCCCAAGUGACACCAGAGUUCAUCCCCAGGCCUGGAGGGCUGAUGGACACACCCCAGUGAGGUCAAGGCAGGAUGACCCACAGCUGGCAAGUCGGCUGGCUGGCUCUCUCGGGAUAAAAUGCUGGAAGAAAGGCAAGUCCUGGCCAGGGUGGAGUUGGUUCCUGCUUCUUCAGGGAGACUCGCCUGGCUCAGCUUGGGAGGGGCAGGUGGGGCCUGAAGCUACCCACUUUUUGCGGGGAUGGCUUCAUGUGAUCACUGUGCCAGAGCCUGUCCAAGGGGACGGGUCAAUGGGAGGAGCAGGACGAUGUUCUCCUGAAUUCUUUCCUGCUGAGCUUGCUGCUAUGGACUGGAGAACAGCGGGGGCAGGGCCACACUUACAGAAAGUCUUUGCUCUUGGAAGUUGGAGGGUGAUUAAACAGGUACUAAGGCCUUGAGUAUAAGCAAAGUGUUCGUCUCCACCUGCCUGGCCAGACCCUGCAUAACAGGGAAAAAGUGAAGCUGACCUCUUGCUCCCAGCUGGUUGGGGUAGAGGGUGAAUCCUUCCCAAGCCUGAGCCACAAACUCUCUCUCAUAUUGUCCCAUGUCUGGUGACAGUAAGCAUUCAUCUUUGCUCAGGCCUGGGCAUUAAACUAACCUUGGUCAAAUCACUGAAUGCUAAAACAUCUGACAAAAGGUCGAGUUUUGACAAUGAGCCUUUUCUAUAGAGAUAGGCUUAGAGAGGGGAGUAGAGCCAGGGUACUAGAAAAACCACCUUAACUUUGACCCUGGAAAGGGGCAGGGUCCAGGAUCCUGCCUUUGGAUGUAAGGAGUAGAGAUGGAGCAGGGGCCAACUCUGAAAACAGAAGUAGCCCACGGAGCCCGAGUGGGGGAGGGGCCUGCUGCCAACCUAUCUUGGCAUUUUCCCUUUCGUCCCUUUGGUGAGUUUUGUUGUAACUAGACAAGUUGUGACAAAUAUCCCAUUGCUCUUUGGGCCGGAGAAUUGUCAGGAGUUCUGCCUGGAAACCCAGCCUCAUUCACUGGGGAGCCAUAAUUAGGCAAGAGAACAGUUCACGGGCCCUUGAUUCAAUAAAGACCCUUUUAUGAUGUUGGUUUUUCCCAGAAAAAUAAUACCACUUUGCUCCGUUUAUUGCAUUUAGAUGUGUAAUCAUAUUAGAGCCCAGCAGCCCGGGGGACUGAAGUUACGUACUUGAGGUUUUCAACCAAAGCCUCUUACCCCAGUCUCCAGAGAAAAACAGUGUCCUCAAAAAAAAAAAAGAGACAUUUUUGAGGAUUUUCUUUCUUGGCAUUUAAGGGACGUUUUCUCCCUUCAGGGUGAGAAGUGACCCAGGAAAAACCCCAGAAAGUGAAACGUGACUGGCUCGUGGCACUCUGUGCAGUCCUGUGUUGCCCAUCCAGGCAUUGCGUGGUCCCUCCCCAUCAGGGUUUGUCAUCUGUCAGAGGGGGUAGCUAUGUGUCCUGCAGAGAAGAUGCCUGUGCCCCUUCCAUGAGGAUUCUUAGUACCCUAGCAGUUUGCCGCACUUGGGUUUGCAGGUGGCUGUCCUUUGCCUCCUCCCGGUGAGGGGCAGUCAGCCUUGACUAAACAUAGCCUUGGAGCUCACUGGCAGCAUUGUUUGGGAGGAUGUGCCAGGCUCUGGUGCUAUUGGACACUUCUAGGUGUUUGCAGGGAUGCCCUGCCUAGGAUCCCCUCGGAACGUGGCCACCCCUUUUGCCCUCAGACCUGUUGUGAGGCAGGCUAAAAGCAUUUCUCCAUCAGAGUCAAAGCUCUCCCCAAAAUCUGCCCCGGUGAGGGAGAGAUCACCAGUGGAAUCAAGAUCAUCUUUCCCAAUUCAGGGGUUUAGAAAUCUUAGGCGAUGAAGAAAUUUCUGGUAGUCAUUUGUAGGAGGACUCGAUUAAGAAACACAGGCUACGGCAUGUCCGAAUGCUAAAACCAUGUUGCCUUUAAAGUGUGGGGGGAUACACUUAACUUGCACUGGAUGUUCUGGAGUAUCUUUUCAAACAUCCUUUAAUGCAUCGGAAUUGCAUUUUAUAGGGGAUGGUUCAUCUGUGCAUAGAGUGUGACAAGAAUAUUUUAAUACAUUAUCUCGAGUUUUUUCAACCCUAUACUUCAGGCUUUCUGGCUGACAUGCUAGUGUGUGUGUGCAUAUAUGCAUAUUUUUACUCCCCCCAUAGGAGUAUAAUUAGAACAUCUGAAACCAGAUUAUCCAAUUAGUACAUUUUUUCUAAUUAGCUGUUAGGAAUUUAUGAUGAGAUAAAUUAUUUUAGAUUUCCAAAUGGAACUUUGGCCAUAGGGAGGCUCUGAGGAAGUACACAAGGGAGAAAAAUAAUGGGUUUUUCAAGUUUUGCUUCCCACCUGCUCCCUGAAAAACCUAAUCCACUCAUCCAUAAGCCAGCAACAGUGACCAGAAAAGUUUAUUGUACUUGAGUAAACAGUUGGAAAAACCCACUUAGCAUCAGGUCUUCUCUGGAUAAUGAAGCCUGCAGGCAGAAACUGGCAUUAAAUAGUACUUUCUCCAUUUUUCAGCAGGAAUGACAGUAGUAGUCACAGGAAAAACAAUCCUGGUGGUGUGAAUUCAUUCAGGGUGUAUUUACUUUGUGCUGUGUGCGCGCUUUAUGGGUGGUAGCUAACUCUCAGGGCUUUGUGGCCAGGUUUGUCGAAGGAAGUUGAGACUGGCCACUUGUAUUUUGUCUCAAAUUCUGAACUCCAAAAAAACUUAAGAAGCACAGUUUGGUUCUUUAACUCUUAGAACCUGACCCAAGACUAUUGUGGUCUAUAUUUAUCCUGGGGAGCAUGAGUUUCACUGUAGAGAUAUUAAUGUAUUUGAUUAUGGGUGUCGCAUAAUGUAUGGCACAGGUACCUCAGUCCCUAAAACCUGGAAAAUCCUGAUACACAUCUGGCCUGAAGGUCUAAAGAACUAGGAGCUAGAAUAGCUCUCCAUGGCCUAUUUUCCCGUCGGCCACAGGAGGUGGCUGUGAGUUGGAGGGUCCAGGCAGGAGGUGGUCGAGUUGCCCCGACAGCUUCGCUUCUACUACUGCAGGUAGCUUAGCAGCCCCCACAUCCCUUCGAGCCCCUUCCUCACUAGGCUUCGAAAGCUAGCUGGUUUUGCUCACUGUUGUGUCCCAUGUUCAGCUUGGGGCAUGCUAGCAGAUAUUGAUCAGAAACGGGCAGCAUGUUAUUUCUAUAAAGGUCCAAAUAGUAAAUAUCUUAGGUCUUGAGGGUGUGGCAUCUCUUGCAAACUCGGUUCCUUAAAACUUUUCAGUUUUACAAAAAUGUGUGAAAAUACACAUUUAAUAGAAACCGUACUUAGAAUUUGGAUCUCUUCCUGGGCUAGCAGUAUGCAGUUGGAUGAUGCUGUCACAGGGCUGGCGAAGCCACUGCAGAAAGGGAAACAACCCAGACAAGUUCUGUGCUCUGCACCACUGAGCUAGGACCUCGCUAGGCAACACUAUUUUCAACUUACAAUGGGGCUUAUCAGGCUCUAACCCCACUGUGAGCCAAGGAAGUACUUUCAGGCUGUUAAUGUAGCCUGAAAACUGCCACAGGAAAUGUGGCAGUAAGUGGGUGCACCUAUGUUCUAAUAAAACUUUAUGAAAACAGAUGGCAGGCUGGGUUUGCUCGCUGGCCAUAGUUUGCCAACUCCCAGGACAAGGGAUAAAAACCUUAGACGCUCUUCUUUGCCAUAGCGUAGCCCUGCUAUCUGCCUGGACACUGAUCUUGUUUCCUCCCCCAGUGCCGUUGCCUCUAAAAAGAUAAAAGUGGAGCUCUCAUACCAGCAUCCACCCCUUGCCUUGGCUCCUCCAAAUGGUCUGGAAACAUGGAUAAAAGGAAGACACUGCCCUGCCUGGACUGGCCUCAAGAGUAGGAGUGUGUAUUUGUGUGGACAAAUGCAUUUGGGCCCAGGGCCAGCCCUGGUGAGGGGCACUUGGGCCUCCACCCACUGAUGAGUUUGGGAACCGAGCCAAACCCCCAGCAAUGGGCCAGGCUGCUGGCUGGGCAGCGCAGCUCAGGAGCGGAUGUGGGGCACUGGGGAAGCCAAGGGGCUGGGUGCAAGCAAGCUCACCAGCAGAAUUUCUGGCAGAGACUGGGUAUCAUAAACUCAGUGGCUCCAACGAGGGCUUGUUCCUCCCCUGCCCAGAGCAUCCAGCAAGGGUGGGGUCUGGCUAGUGAGGCUGAAAUCCAGUCCCCGGACCUCCACAGCCGGCUGCCCUGGAGCUGACUGAUGAGGGAGGGACCCUGCAGAUGUUUGGCCCCUGACUCUUAAGCAGACCUUUCCAGGAUCCAGGGCUGGAACCUCUCAGCCAGCCCCUGCCUCAGCAGCUUUUCUGUGGGAAGGGUUUUCCUCCAAGACAUUUUGGGACUGCUGCCCUCCGUCAGGACCACCACCUUGGCCAGCCAGGGUGGGGCCGCCGCAUAGUUCUUUCUAAAGCAAAUUCCAAACAAGUUGGCUUCCCCCCAUUCCCUCUUCUAUCAUGGUUUUGUGGGUUACUAUUUUAGGGACAGUGUUCAUAUGCAGCCUCUUCACCCUGCAGCCCUGAUGGCUUGUCAGCCCCAGAAGAAGGGGGUGCACCUCAGGCAGCAGUGUGUGCCCAGCAAAAGCCCCUCACGGAGUGAGGACUGGCAAAGCCGGUGGAAGUGGACUGGGGGGAUGGGGAACUCUGCUGGCAAAACCGGGGUGGGGGGGCAGGGCCACCUUCACAUACUUAACACAAUGUACUGCUGCUAGGGACUAUCCUCCUGACCCUGCCUGAACUGCUGUAGGGGGAUGGCCCAGAGCAGUUCUUGAACAUGGGUUCACCUGAGACUCACAAAAGGAGCCGUUAACAAUGCAGAUUCUGUGGUCCUAGGGGAGGCCUGCAUCAGCAUUGUCAAUCCCCAUGCUGGGGGGGGGGGUAAAGCAGAGAGUGGGGGAGAGGGGCUGGGGUCAAGUAGGGUCAGCCAGAAAAGGUGAGCUAGAGCCAGGCACAGUUUGAAGCCCUUUACACAAAUGAACUCAGUCCUCCCCAAAAGCUCCAUCUCACAAAUUGCAGACUGAAGCACAGCUGGGUGAGGGAGCUUGCCCAGGCUUGCAUGGGCAGCAGGUGGUGAGUUGGGCCUCGGCCCUUCCUCAUACAGCACUGUAGAGGACAAGGGCAGGCUAGCAGGGGGACUGCCCAGGGAGGCUGCAGGGAUGGGGUGUCUCGGGCAAGUAAAGCAGGAUGGGGUCAUAUCCAAGGGGCUCAGGUGACUCGGGUCUGCUGGUGGAGUAUAUGGCUGUGAUCUUGGUGCAGAAAGCUCUAGGCACAGUGACAGGGAGGUACACCCCAAUCCUCCUCUCAGAGGGAAGAGUUCCCCGUGAUGCGGCCCCCACCCGUGGCAGUGAGGGGAGUCUGGCAAAUACUUGGUAGACUUCCUUUCAUGUUCCUGUCUCCCCAUGAAUUUGGGCCUAUAGUUCUUAGAGAUGAGGAGUCUGGGGAGCAAAACAGUGCACACGUGGUCACACAGUAAGCAAGUAGUGACCCAGGCUCUGUCUUCUGUGGGGAUGUGCUUUUCACCACAGCAGGACCUGUGCCCCCACCUCCUCCAUCAGAGUGGGCUCCUGGUGGUCACUGGGACAGAAGAGAUGAUCCUAAACAGGCCUAGGAUUCAGGGACUCCUUCCACCCCCUUGAGGAAGAACCACCAGCACUCAUCGGCCUGUCCCUUUCUCGGUGGCUGCUUUCUGACCAUCUUCCUCCCCCAUUUCUUCAAGGCCGUGCUUCCCGGCAGCUCUUGUCAGCCUGGGGGUUUGAACCUGAAGCCUACCUGGGGCAUUCCAGAAGUCUUCAGGGGUGUCUGUCGUACAUCUUGGUAGAAGGCGAGGGGCUGGACCUGCCUUCCCACGCUGGCCCACAUGCAGCCCUUGCUUUUCAGGGAAAAGUGGGGCCAACACGGUUGAGCAGCGGGAGGGCUGGACUGGGAUCCAGGUUCAAGCAGCAGCUUCCAGGGCUACACCGUGUCUGGAAGGUUGCAGCCUCUUGGUCCACCAGGGGUGGAGGACCCAAGACUAGGCCUUUCAGGACUAGUCCCUUUAUGCUAGGCGCAGCAAGAGAGGGUGGUGGGACCCCCUUUUAUAGAGCGACGCCAGGCUGCCCCGGCUGCAGGGAAGCUGGAGGCGUUCGGGUGCUUAUUCCUCUGGGAACUACAUACCUGGAUAUUCUUCAAAAGGAACAAAGGAGCAUGGAGGCAGCUCCUGACCUAGGCUGGGUCCCUUUGUCCUUAUAACCUGCACCAGGCCUUGCUUCUGAAGGGGCCCUGGUCAGGGGAGGGAAGAAGAUCCUGCUUUCCUUCUUGCGUCAUAUCAGGCCUGAGAGCCUCACUUGGCCUCUUGAGGCUGUUUCUCCAGGCUGGGUGCGUGCCACACACUCUAGUCACUGGACCCCUGUGGACAGAAGGCAACCAAGUUCUGAGUUGGCUCUGGAUGAAAUGGAGGCUCAUCACUCCUGGGUGUGCUAUGGGAGGCCACCGAGGGUGUCUGACGGGCAGUGGGGGCGCUGUGGAGACCCUGCAGCCCCACCACCCACCAUAGAGCUUCCCCAGGGCUAUGGGCACACUCGCCUACCUGGGCCAACCAGUUGACUGCCUGCUUGGAGAACAUUCAAGGACAGCAAGAAAAAUGAGGGACUUUCAGGGGCAGCUGUGUUUUCUGACUCAGUCAUAAUGCCCCUAAAAAUCCUUAUUGUUCUUGCAGUGUGCAUCAGGCAGAAGCCACAAGCACCUCUUGUCUGUCUGGGAUGGAAGGGGUUUCCUGGAGUCAUAUUGGAAUGUUACCCCCCCCCACGAGAGUCAAUGGGGACUUGAUCACUGAAACAACUUGGCAUAUUGGUUUGCAUACAUUUCUUCCGGCAGAGGGUAGUGAGGAAGCUGAACAUUGGAUACUAUUGCUGGUUGGAGCCCAAGAGCACAUAGGUGUCCCCGAGUCGCAUGCAGUUCACAAGAGUCCAACUGCGCAUUCAGUGCCUGAGGAAGGCUAUGCUCAGAGACAGCUGCAUUAAAGCAGCCUUGGGGGGCAGGAAGGGAUGUUCUCGUCUCCUGAAGUUGGGACAGGAGGGGGAAUGACACUUGGGCAGAAACUUGCCUUUUAGGAUAGAAGAAGCCUCAGUAAGACCUAACCGUUUUAAAAAACGUGGUUGUAGGAAGGGUGGCUGGUGCCAGUGGGGCUGUAAUCCCAGCAAUGCAGGAGGCUUGCAAGUUCAAGGACCCCGUCUCAAAAAGGGCUGGGGAUGUAGCUCAGUGGUAAAAUGCCCUGUGGUGUGGGGGUGUGAUUUGACACUCCUCGACUGAGAGCCCGGAGCUUGCUUUCUCCCAGCUGGAUGCUCCCUGGUGCUCUACCAUUCUCGCAGGUUCCAGCCCUACCCCACAGAUAUUUUGACUGAGCCAAGAUCUUAUCUCGGGGUUUCUGGAGGAGACUGUCAAGCAAUAGAAAUCUUUUUAAAACAGAAACCACUUGGUGACAUGCCCCUCUUAACCCGUGGUAUCAGUCCACACCCCAAGGCAACUGAAUCCAGCUUUCCAGGUGAGGCAGGGCUGGUGGCUUGGCCACAGAUGGGGAGGGUUGCAGAGCGACGAGCAGCACGUGGCCUGCUCCAGCAGGUCCACCCUUGUCUUGAGGACCUCAAGGGUCAGCAGGGGAAAUUCGUCCUUCGUAUUUCUAAGGAGUCACUUGAAAGCUCUCAUCAUCAGAAAAGAUGGCCUUCGGUGCUGGGCGGAAUUUGACCACCCUGACCUUGUCUCCUGCCACCGAUGACUAAGGGGCUGGAGCCUCAGCCACCUCCUACUCAGAAAUGAAUGCUCCAAGGAACACACUUGAGUGGAAGAUGCUCGGCGACUGGUAGUGGUGCAGCACCUCUUGGGAGGUAAAGUCCGGGCCUCCACGUGGCGGAUGGUGCCUUCUGUCCUUGGUCCUACAAGGAUGACCUUUCUGGACCGUCUUCUUGGGCCUCCUGCCAUGGCUGAACUCCUGGGACAGUGGUUCUGGAUUGGCAAGCUACGGUUCUUGCCUCCGCCUCCCUCCUGCACCAGCAGCCUCAGUGUGUAGAUGGCCCAGUGUCUGUGGGCUGGAAGGACACCAACCUAGGGAGCUGGCAUGAGGAGUCCAUCCCUGGUGGCCUGGCCAUUGCAGGUUUGUCAGGACAUAGGAACGGCAUGACACCACCACUCCUGGUGCUUUGGAGGAGUUGAUAGCCGUCCAUGGACUCUUCCUCUGGGGAUCACCUUUCCCCUACCAUAAAUUCCCGGGUUUGGGUGUAGCUACCCUUCCUGCCUGACUUUAGAGGCAUCCAUCUGAUCCAGGCUUGGAACAGGCUUCGCUGCAGGACUAUCUUAUGUGAUGCUGAGGAUCGAACCCAGCGCCCCACGCAUGCCAGGCUAGCACGCUACAGCUUGAGCCACAUCCCCAGCCCCUCUGCAGGACUUCCGAAGGACCGCUGGGGGAAAAAAGCUAUUCUGUUCCUGUGGCAGUUGAUAAGGCCAUAGGAUGGAGCCUGAAACCGCUGGUGACCAGCCCCUUAUCCCCUCGACAACGAAGCCACCAGAGAGGAGAGAGCGCUAACAUGGAGAGAAUAUUGGUGCAAACUGGCGUGCCCAAAGCCACUGGCUUCCCUGCACUAUGAGGAUUGAGACAAUGGGUAUCUUUUUUGCUAAAACUAGCCUGCGUACGGCUUCUGUCACAGAAGUGUGCCCAAUGCAGGCAGGUUUUUUUUGAAACAGGUAUAUUUCACCAUGAAAUUCAUCCGCUGCCACCAGAGAGCCACCGUUUCUUCCCCCAAAAUGUCCCAUCUCUCCAACCACUGCGCUUCCCUUUGCAAAACUUCAUGUAAUCCUAGUGCAUACUCUUCCCGUCUUCUGACUCGGCCUGUCUUCCACGUUGAUGGUUGCUGGGUCACCUGACAUUGUGUAGAUGUAAGUGGUUCUUUAUCCAUUUAGAUGAUGGAUAGUUGAGCCGUUUCCAAAUUUGGGCUACUGUGAAUAAAGCUGUUUUAAACAUU